rnacentral:rRNA from 1 species
GAUGAACGCUGGCGGCGUGCCUAAUACAUGCAAGUCGAGCGAACAGACGAGGAGCUUGCUCCUCUGACGUUAGCGGCGGACGGGUGAGUAACACGUGGAUAACCUACCUAUAAGACUGGGAUAACUUCGGGAAACCGGCGCUAAUACCGGAUAAUAUAUUGAACCGCAUGGUUCAAUAGUGAAAGACGGUUUUGCUGUCACUUAUAGAUGGAUCCGCGCCGCAUUAGCUAGUUGGUAAGGUAACGGCUUACCAAGGCAACGAUGCGUAGCCGACCUGAGAGGGUGAUCGGCCACAUUGGAGCUGAGACACGGUCCAGACUCCUGCGGGAGGCAGCAGUAGCGAAUCUUCCGCAAUGGGCGAAAGCCUGACGGAGCAACGCCGCGUGAGUGAUGAAGGUCUUCGGAUCGUAAAACUCUGUUAUUAGGGAAGAACAAAUGUGUAAGUAACUAUGCACGUCUUGACGGUACCUAAUCAGAAAGCCACGGCUAACUACGUG